rnacentral:hammerhead_ribozyme from 1 species
AUCCAACUGACGAGCCCCAAAUAGGCCGAAACGUGCGUCUAAACUGAAU